rnacentral:lncRNA from 1 species
AACUCAAAACAUCCAGGAAAUACAGGACACAAUGAGAAGACCAAACCUACAGAUAAUAGGAGUUGAUGAGAAUGAAGAUUUUCAACUUAAAGGGCCAGCAAAUAUCUUCAACAAAAUUAUAGAAGAAAACUUCCCAAAUCUAAAGAAAGAGAUGCCCAUGAACAUACAAGAAGCCUACAGAACUUCAAAUAGAUGGGACCAGAAAAGAAAUUCCACCCUACACAUAAUAAUCAGAACAACAAAUGCACUAAAUAAAGAUAGAAUAUUAAAAGCAGUAAGGGAGAAAGGUCAUGUAACAUAUAAAGGCAGGCCUAUCAGAAUUGCACCAGAUUUUUCAACAGAGAUUAUGAAAGCCAGAAGAUCCUGGCCAGAUGUUAUACAGACACUAAGAGAAAACAAAUUCCAGCCCAGGCUACUGUACCCAGCCAAAAGUUCAAUUACCAUAGACGGAAAAACCAAAGUAUUCCACAACAAAACCAAAUUCACAUGAAUCCAGCACUUCAAAGGAUAACAACAGAAAAAAACCAAUACAAAGACGGAAACCACAUCCUAGAAAAAGCAAGAAAGUAAUCCUUCAACAAACCAAAAAGAAGACAGCCACAAGAACAGAAUGCCAACGCUAACAACAAAAAUAAUAGGAAGCAACAAUUACUUUUCCUUAAUAUCUCUUAAUAUCAAUGGACUCAACUUCCCAAUAAAAAGACAUAGACUAACAGACUGGCUACACAAACAGGACCCACCAUUCUGCUGCUUACAGGAAACCCAGCUCAGGAAAAAAGACAAACACUACCUCAGAAUGAAAGGCUGGAAAACAAUUUUCCAAGCAAAUGGUCUGAAGAAACAAGCUGGAGUAGCCAUUCUAAUAUCUAAUAAAAUCGACUUCCAACCCAAAGUCAUCAAAAAAGACGAAGAGGGGCACUUCAUACUCAUCAAAGGUGAAAAUCUUCCAGGAGGAACUCUCAAUUCUGAAUAUCUAUGCUCCAAAUACAAGGGCAGCCACAUUCAUUAAAAAUACUUUAGUAAAGCUCAAAGCACAUAUUGCACCUCACACAAUAAUACUGGGGGACUUCAACACCCCACUUUCAUCAAUUGACAAAUCGUGGAAACAGAAACUAAACAGGGACACAGUGAAACUAACAGAAGUUAUGAAACAAAUGGACAUAACAGAUAUCUACAGAGCAUUUUAUCUAAAACAAAAGGAUAUACCUUCUUCUCAGCACCCCAUGGUACCUUCUCCAAAAUUGAUCAUAUAAUUGGUCACAAAACAAACCUCAACAGAUACAAAAAUAUUGAAAUUGUCCCAUGUAUCCUAUCAGAUCACCAUGGACUAAGGCUGAUGUUCAAUAACAACAUAAAUAAUAGAAAGCCAACAUUCACGUGGAAACUGAACAACACUCUUCUCAAUGAUACCUUGGUCAAGGAAGGAAUAAAGAAAGUAAUUAAGGACUUUUUAGAGUUUAAUGAGAAUUAAGCCACAACAUACCCAAACUUAUGGGGCACAAUGAAAGCAUUUCUAAGAGGAAACUCAUAGCUCUGAGUACCUCCAAAAAGAAACUAGAGAGAGCACACACUAGCUGCUUGACAACACACCUAAAAGCUCUAGAACAAAAGGAAGCAAAUUCACCCAAGAGGAGUAGAAGGCAAGAAAUAAUCAAACUCAGGGGCGAAAUCAACCAGUGGAAACAAGAAGAACUAUUCAAAGAAUCAAACAAAGGAAGAGCUGGUUCUUUGAGAAAAUCAACAAGAUAGAUAAACCUUUAGCCAGACUCUCUAGAGGUCACAGGGACAACAUCCUAAUUAACAAGAUCAGAACUGAAAAGGGAGACAUAAUAACAGAUCCUGAAGAAAUCCAAAACAACUUCAGAUCCUUCUACAAAAGGCUAUACUCAACAAAACUGGAAAACCUGGAUGAAAUGGACAAGUUUCUAGACAGAUACCAGGUACCAAAGUUAAAUCAAGAUCAGGUUAAUAAUCUAAACAGUCCUAUAUCCCCUAAAGAAAUAGAAGCAGUCAUUAAUAGUCUCCCAACCAAAAAAAGCCCAGGACCAGAUGGGUUUAGUACAGAGUUCUAUCAGACCUUCAAAGAAGAUCUAAUCCCAGUUCUUCACAAACUAUUCCACAAAAUAGAAACUGAGUAUUUAUUUCAUUGUGCCCAUGACCUGAGAAACAUGCAGAGAAAUGAAAAGAGAGGUCUAGUCCAUCUUUACCAUGAUGGUGCGCCCCGGAAGAACUCACUUAACCUUCCUAACCCUUAAGCAUAAAACUAAAUUGAAAGAUUAAUAAUCUUCUGGUGCUAUUCAUAUAGUAAAAAUCCCUGUGUCAUACGUCACUGUAAUACCCCAGCGAGC